AUAAAAAUCUGUAUUGUGACAUAGAAGCUGUGAUUAAAAAUGAUAAAAUAAAUCUUUGAUGUUAUAGCAAUAUCUGUAAAAGUGGCAACCCUGGCGUGAAGGUUAUAAAAUGUAAAUAUAAACAAACGUCAAAAACAUUCGCAGCAUAAAAUAAUAUUCUUUCGUCGGCCUUGUUAGUUGAACUGCGUCUAGAGAAUGGACUCUUCUCGUCGUAGCCAUUUACUGCGGGAAAAACAGUCAGUUCAACUUAUAUUCUGAACUCGAGUGGCGAUUUCAGAAUGACUUUUUCCUGUGCUACGGGCGCAUUAGAAGAUGCGUGGAGCACCUAUCUGCAUCGUCAGUGGCCAGUUAAUUAAGAUAUCAGUUGGUUAUUUCCUGCUCAAUAAAAACGAGUCAUUUGUUGCAUUGGUGGUGUGAUGACGGAUUUAUACUUUCGCUCUACGCUCAGCGCUCGCUCGUUCAGAACAAUAACAUUGAAGAGAUGUUGUUGGUGGCUCUGAAGAUCUUUCCACGUGAUGUCAAAAUUUUAAUUGUAGAAGCAGUGGAAAAUAUAUAUUUGAA